GGACUACACGGGUAUCUAAUCCUGUUCGCUCCCCACGCUUUCGUCCCUCAGCGUCAAUGUACUGAUAGUAACCUGCCUUCGCAAUUGGUAUUCCAUGUAAUAUCUAAGCAUUUCACCGCUACACUACAUAUUCUAGUUACUUCCCAGUAAUUCAAGUCUAACAGUAUCAAUGGCAGUUCCAUCGUUAAGCGAUGGGCUUUCACCACUGACUUAUUAGACCGCCUACGGACCCUUUAAACCCAAUGAUUCCGGAUAACGCUUGGAUCCUCCGUAUUACCGCGGCUGCUGGCAC
rnacentral:rRNA from 1 species